GGGGCGGUAGCUCAGCCGGUCAGAGCAGGCGACUCAUAAUCGCUCGGUCACGGGUUCAAGCCCCGUCCGCCCCA
rnacentral:tRNA from 1 species